GGAUGUGACUGAAUCAUGGUGGCAACUGCUGCACCAUUAGAAGAUCCUGCGAAGAUGACAUUACUCAGUAAUCAGGUCGCAAGUACAGCCUGAUUUAUUCAGAAGAUAAGCAUCCUGUGUGGGAUUCCAUCCCCUUUAGCCAACAAACAUUCUACUUGUUUUCUGUGAACAAAGAAACUUGAUGCAGUGGCUGAAGCAAAGGAUCCUGGUUUAAUUACAUCAUAGAAAAGACCUGGAGUUGCUGGGUGUGCCUGGAGAAGCUCCAAAAAGGUUAAUAAGUGCCUGUGGAAGCAGGAGAGGGAAGAUUGAAAGAGAACCCAGGAAAUUCUCACAAUGGUGCUCUGAAAAGGAGGUUAAUUGUCUUCUUCAUAAGAUCUCCAUUGCAUUAAGUUGAAACCAUUGAAGUGUAUUGGUGGUCACAAUGCUUUACACUGUAUGCAGCAAACACCCUUACAAGUCUAUCC